rnacentral:tRNA from 1 species
UCUAAUAUGGCAGAAAAGUGCAACGGAUUUAAGCUCCGUACAUAAAGAUUAAUUCUUUUAUUAGAA